UUUUUCUCUCACAUAAAAUUAAAUCGCUCUUUUUCUGUGAAGACAACCGUGGAUCUAUCUCAUCCCACCAGUCUCCCCUGCUCUUUCUCCCUUCGUUCUCGUUCUCUUUCUCUUUCUCUUUCUCUUUCUCUUUCGCUCUCCUCAACCUCAACAACAACAACAACAACAACAACAAUAAGAUUUGUUUCUUUCUCUGGUUGGGUUGGGUGUGUAUUUUGUUCAAUUUUUUUUUUUUUUUUUUGACAAAUCAAAUAAUAUUAUUAAGGGAGGGGAGGGGGGGUCGUUGUUGUGGAAACCCAAAUUCAAAAGCCAAGCCAUGCCAUAUCAUCCUUCAAGUUCCAGAUCUGCCCCAUACCCACUUCCCCAAUAUAUCCAUCUCUUUCCCUGACGCACCUCCUCUCACACCCCCUUCUCUCUCUCUUCUUCCAGCUCGAUCUGGGAUUUGCCCAUUUCACCUUCUUUUUGUUUCUCUUUUCUUCUUCCGUAUCGUCCGCGCUCUGCAAUGGCGGCCAUGCGUCUAGAUCUGACCUCCAGAGUGUUCCCGGACCCUGAUUCCGUGGACAUCGACCACUUCGAUCGCCUUCCUGAUUCUCUCCUCCUCUUGGUCUUCAACAAGAUCGGAGACGUCAAGGCCCUUGGUCGCUGCUGCGCUGUUUCGCGUCGGUUCCACACCCUUGUUCCUCAGGUUGAUAACGUCGUCGUUCGGGUUGAUUGUGUCAUCUCCGACGACGACUCAUCAUCCUCCGCCUCCGCUUCCGAUAAGUCUCGUGGCCCUUUCUCUAACCUCUUCCGCUUAGUCUUCGGCGGUAUUGUGAAGCCGCUCCAGGCUCUCGGACAGUUUUUGGGCCCCAAAAGAGCGUAUUCUUCUGCUUCCGGUUCAGGUUCCGGGUCGUCGUCGCUGGCCGUCGGGAGCGAAGAGGAAGGGGAGGUCGACCAGGGCGGCGUGACCCAUCACUCGCCCACUCAGGUUCUGAAGAAUUUCAACGAGAUUCGGUUCCUUCGGAUCGAGCUGCCCAGUGGCGAAUUGGGUAUAGACGACGGCGUGUUGUUGAAAUGGAGGGCCGACUUCGGGUCCACUCUGGAUAAUUGUGUGAUUCUCGGAGCGUCUUCGGUGAUAUAUCCAGGGCCCACCACCAAGUCUUCUUCGCUUGCUCAGGAAAACGGAGGGGCUGAUGGGUUUUGCGCCGCCGUCGGAAAUGGCGGUGAAGACAAUGGAAGCAUACCCGAAUCGUUUUACACCAAUGGGGGUCUGAAACUGAGGGUGGUUUGGACGAUAAGCUCUCUGAUUGCCGCGUCGGCGAGGCAUUAUUUGCUCCAGCCGAUAAUCUCAGAGCACAAGACGUUGGAUAAUUUGGUGCUGACGGAUGCAGAUGGGCAGGGGGUGUUGUGCAUGAACAGAGAUCAGCUGGAGGAGCUGAGGGUGAAGCCAUUGUCGGCCUCGUCGGCUUCGAAGAGGACGCUUGUGCCGGCUCUCAAUAUGAGACUUUGGUAUGCGCCUCACUUGGAAUUGCCAGAUGGGGUUGUGUUGAAGGGAGCAACUCUGGUUGCCAUUCGGCCCAGCGAGCAAUCGCCGGCCAAGAAGGAGGUUUCCGAUGGGUCUUGGGUUUCCACCGCGUUCGAGGAGCCCUACGGGACUGCCGCCAAGAUUCUGGUCAAAAGGCGGACUUACUGUCUUGAGAUGAACUCUUUCUGAAUGGGAAGAGGAAUAACGGGAAGGAUCUGAGGACUUUCUGGUGUUAUGUAGAAUGCCCUGAAAAUUUAGGGAACAUUUUUGGGUUCAUUAAGUAAAACUUCUGGGCCUCUGGCAGUAAAAGAAUAAGGCAGUCGUUGAAAAGUGUAAAGCACAAGCCUUGGAUGGAAUAGGAGAGAAAGAAGAAUUGGGGUAUUUCUGAAAGGGGAUAACCACUGAACAAUUUUGUAUUUGUUCCACAUGAAGAUGAAUCUUGCUUGGACUACCAUGGGAGUGGCCAUCUUCUGCAGAUUAUGCGCUACAAAAUGUAUCACCCUUCAACUCAGAAAGAGUUGAAAACGCAUCUGCUGUCUGUUUUAUUUCAGGCAUAUGCUUGUAAGAGUUCACACACCCACCCCAAAUAGAUUGAGAUCUUGUAAGAGCUUGGUGUUUGUAGUCAUCUACUUCUAUCUUGUCAUCUCUCUGUAUGUGAAUAUUAUAGGUAUGACUAUGUUAUGCUUCUGUGAUAUAUGUUAAAAGUUCAUUUGAGCAAUGUAGUUAGUAUUAAGCUUUGAUUAA